rnacentral:rRNA from 1 species
GACAGAGGGUGCGAACGUUGUUCGGAAUUACUGGGCGUAAAGCGCGUGUAGGCGGCAGCGCAAGUCGGGCGUGAAAUCCCACGGCUCAACCGUGGAAGUGCACUCGAAACUGCGCAGCUAGAGUCUCGGAGAGGAAGGCGGAAUGCUUGGUGUAGAGGUGAAAUUCGUAGAUAUCAAGCGGAACACCGGUGGCGAAGGCGGCCUUCUGGACGAUGACUGACGCUGAGACGCGAAAGCGUGGGGAGCAAACAGG